AUUGAGCGCUGGCGGCAGGCCUAACACAUGCAAGUCGAGCGGAUGAGUGGAGCUUGCUCCAUGAUUCAGCGGCGGACGGGUGAGUAAUGCCUAGGAAUCUGCCUGGUAGUGGGGGACAACGUUUCGAAAGGAACGCUAAUACCGCAUACGUCCUACGGGAGAAAGCAGGGGACCUUCGGGCCUUGCGCUAUCAGAUGAGCCUAGGUCGGAUUAGCUAGUGGGUGGGGUAAAGGCCUACCAAGGCGACGAUCCGUAACUGGUCUGAGGGGAUGAUCAGUCACACUUGAACUGAGACACGCUCCAGACUCCUACGGGAGGCAGCAGUGGGGAAUAUUGGACAAUGGGCGAAAGCCUGAUCCAGCCAUGCCGCUUGUGUGAAGAAGGUCUUCGGAUUGUAAAGCACUUUAAGUUGGGAGGAAGGGCAGUAAGUUAAUACCUUGCUGUUUUGACGUUACCAACAGAAUAAGCACCGGCUAACUUCGUGCCAGCAGCCGCCGUAAUAC
rnacentral:rRNA from 1 species